rnacentral:rRNA from 1 species
GCGGCGGACGGGUGGAGUAACGCGUGGGUAACCUGCCUCAUACAGGGGGAGUAACAGUUGGAAACGGCUGCUAAUACCGCAUAAGCGCACAGUACCGCAUGGUACGGUGUGAAAAACUCCGGUGGUAUGAGAUGGACCCGCGUCUGAUUAGCUAGUUGGUGGGGUAACGGCCUACCAAGGCGACGAUCAGUAGCCGGCCUGAGAGAGUGAACGGCCACAUUGGGACUGAGACACGGCCCAAACUCCUACGGGAGGCAGCAUG